rnacentral:rRNA from 1 species
UACAGAGGGUGCUAGCGUUGUUCGGAAUCAUUGGGCGUAAAGGGCGUGUAGGCGGUUUGCUAAGUCAUGUGUGAAAUCCCUCGGCUCAACCGGGGAACGACGCAUGAAACUGGCAAGCUAGAGUACCAAAGAGGGGGGUGGAAUUCCCGGUGUAGCGGUGAAAUUCGUAGAUAUUAGGAAGAACACCAGUGGCGAAGGCGGCUCACUGGCCCGGUACUGACGCUGAGGCGCGAAAGCGUGGGGAGCAAACAGG